GAAAUGUGUGCACUGUGGGGAGGAGUUUCCUUUCGCUACUAUAAAAAAUCACAGCGAUGAAUGCACAAGACCGUUGCAGAGCAGUGGCGAGGUAUCAAUGGAUAUAAACGAAGAAGAUUCCCAUCCAGAGGAAGUCAGACAGCAAGGCCCAACAGCUCUAGAAACCCCUCAUGGACAUGUUGCUACUCCGGAGAUUGUUGAUCUAGUUUCCAUUGAAGAGAGAGGCUUUGCUGGUUGGAAAAUCGAGCCAGAUCCUUCAGAGGCAUCAAAGAGAUUCAAAGAAGGGCUGUUGGUUCAACAUGAAACUGAAAAGCCUUUAAGUAUCGUCAUGGAUCUUGGAAACAGUGCAGAGGACAGGGAAAGGGCAAUCCUUU